rnacentral:rRNA from 1 species
AUUGAACGCUGGCGGCAGGCUUAACACAUGCAAGUCGAGCGGGGAAGGGUAGCUUGCUACCUAACCUAGCGGCGGACGGGUGAGUAAUGCUUAGGAAUCUGCCUAUUAGUGGGGGACAACAUUCCGAAAGGAAUGCUAAUACCGCAUACGCCCUACGGGGGAAAGCAGGGGAUCUUCGGACCUUGCGCUAAUAGAUGAGCCUAAGUCAGAUUAGCUAGUUGGUGGGGUAAAGGCCUACCAAGGCGACGAUCUGUAGCGGGUCUGAGAGGAUGAUCCGCCACACUGGGACUGAGACACGGCCCAGACUCCUACGGGAGGCAGCAGUGGGGAAUAUUGGACAAUGGGCGCAAGCCUGAUCCAGCCAUGCCGCGUGUGUGAAGAAGGCCUUUUGGUUGUAAAGCACUUUAAGCGAGGAGGAGGCUACCGAGAUUAAUACUCUUGGAUAGUGGACGUUACUCGCAGAAUAAGCACCGGCUAACUCUGUGCCAGCAGCCGCGGUAACAC